UCCAGGUUAUCCCUGGCGGUCUCCUGAGAGUGCAUCCUUGCGGAUUAGCAACACAGGACAAGGGUUGCGCUCGUUGCGGGACUUAACCCAACAUCUCACGACACGAGCUGACGACAACCAUGCACCACCUGUCACUCUGUCCCCCGAAGGGGAACGUCCUAUCUCUAGGAGUGUCAGAGGAUGUCAAGACCAGGUAAGGCUCUUCGCGUUGCAUCGAAUUAAUCCACAUGCUCCGCCGCUUGUGCGGGCCCCCGUCAAUUCCUUUGAGUUUUAGUCUUGCGACCGUACUCCCCAGGCGGAGUGCUUAAUGCGUUAGCUGCGGCACAGAGCGGGUUGAAGACCGCCCCACACCUAGCACCCAACGUUUACGGCUAGGACUAC
rnacentral:misc_RNA from 1 species